rnacentral:rRNA from 1 species
UACGGAGGGUGCAAGCGUUGUCCGGAAUCACUGGGCGUAAAGGGCGCGUAGGCGGCUCAUGAAGGCUGUGGUGAAAGUCCGGGGCUCAACCUCGGAUCGGCCGUGGCGACUCGUGGGCUGGAGCACUGUAGAGGCGGGUGGAAUUCCGGGUGUAGCGGUGGAAUGCGUAGAGAUCCGGAAGAACACCAGUGGCGAAGGCAGCUAGCUGGAACACUACUGACACUGAGAGACGAAAGCGUGGGGAGCAAAAGGG